AUGAGAAAAUCGAAGAAAGAUGGAGGUCUCGGGUUUAAAGAGUUGCAUAGGUUUAAUUUGGCCAUGCUUGCAAAGCAGGCAUGGAGGAUCCUCACUAAACCAGAGUCCCUGUGUGCACGGAUUUUGAAAGCCAAGUACUUCCCAAACACCUCGAUCCUAGAGGCACAAGCUAAUCCGGGAAUCUCAUACACUUGGCGAAGUAUUCCAAAGGAGUCAAGUUGCUGA
rnacentral:rRNA from 1 species